AUGAAAGGCCUUUGGAAGAUACAGUCAGUUUUUGAUUAUCUACAGAUAGGUAAUUCACACCUCAUGAUACAUUUUAAAUUUCAUCACUGGCUAGCUUUUCCUUGUGUCUCAGCCUCACCUUUUCCCCCUCUCAGUUUUGUGGUCUUUGGAAACUUCCACUUAGAUGGGUAUCUAGACUCAACAAAACAAAAGCAGCAAGGUGAAUUUCUGGAAGAAAUAACUGCAUGGAAUGAAAAACAAAACACGUAGGUAUAUACAGUAGACUCCAGGUUGUAGGUGAAUGUGCUUCUGUGCUCAUAUGGAAUAGCUUUUGCACUAUGAAAGUUCCUUGCACAAUAUAGGUUGUUUAAUAACCUUAUUUGCAUCAGUCUGUAGCACUCAACUGGGUGAACUAAUUGGUAAUUCUUUGUGAAGAAUUUUGAAUGCUGUUCGCUAUUAGUAUAGAUAUGGGCCAGACCGAAUUUAGAUGUCAUGAGACAUUAUAUAUUCCAUCUGUUUCUUCAGUUGCUGGAUAAUGUGUAGAAACAAGGUCUUCAGGAUGAAUGCAAUGAUACUGAUAGAUUGAAAAUUCCUGAAAGUGUGUGUUGGUGACUUCUCUGUUCUGGACCUUGGAUGGAUUAUACUCAAACUAAUGGGAAAGAUAAACCUGGGAGGAUUAGAUGUAGGAUAAGUGAGGUGAGUGAUACUGACCCUCCCAAUACCUUUAUUAAUUUUUUUCUAAAGGUAUGAAUGAAAUGUCCUUAAAUAGUGGAUGUUGUCUAACUAAAAAUUUGUUAAGAGCUAGGUCAAUGACUGAGAAUAGUGCCUUCUUGGACUGAUUUUUUUCUUGCAUCUGAUAAUUCAUUUGGUGUAUUUGUCUUAUCUCCUCACAAGCACUUUCAGGACUACAAGCAUAGCUUCCUUACCAUUUGUAUACCCCACAGAUUGUGCAGAGCGGCACGUACUUACUCCGUACUUGAUAAUUGUUGUUUGCAUGAAUGAAUAACUUGGUAAAUGUUUUCUUCAAGCACAUCAGUAUCUAUUUUAUUAGUGACAAGUAGUUGUCUUUUUUUUUUUUUUUUUUUU
rnacentral:lncRNA from 1 species